UCCAAAGGCAUGUAGAAAUUUCAUACCGUUAUGUAUGGAAGGUUAUUAGGGUGACGCUAUCUCUCAUAAAAUUCUCAAAGGAUUUAUAACGCAAGGUGGUGAUUCAACAGGACAAAUUUCAUACAAGAUUCCCAAAUUCUUUUUUACUGUUAGUUCUACGCUAGACCUGUAAAAUAAGCAUGCAAUCUUUGGUAGAGUUACUGGACAAUCUAUAUAUAGUAUGCUUAAACUCCAAGAAGCACUUGUAGAUGAGACUGAUAGACCACUUUAUCCUCCA